rnacentral:rRNA from 1 species
GGGGGCAACCCUGAUCCAGCAAUGCCGCGUGAGUGAAGAAGGCCUUCGGGUUNUAAAGCUNUUUUGUCAGGGAAGAAACACCGGCUNUAACACAGUCCGGGAAUGACGGUACCUGAAGAAUAAGCACCGGCUAACUACGUGCCAGCAGCCGCGGUAAUACGUAGGGUGCNAGCGUUAAUCGGAAUUACUGGGCGUAAAGCGUGCGCAGGCGGUUAUACAAGACAGGCGUGAAAUCCCCGGGCUUAACCUGGGAAUGGCGCNUGUGACUGUAUAGCUAGAGUGUGUCAGAGGGGGGUAGAAUUCCACGUGUAGCAGUGAAAUGCGUAGAUAUGUGGAGGAAUACCAAUGGCGAAGGCAGCCCCCUGGGAUAACACUGACGCUCAUGCACGAAAGCGUGGGGAGCAAACAGGAUUAGAUACCCUGGUAGUCCACGCCCUAAACGAUGCUGACUAGUUGUUNGGGAUUUACAUCCUGAGUAACG